rnacentral:rRNA from 1 species
UACAGGGGGUGCAAACGUUGCUCGGAAUCAUUGGGCGUAAAGCGCACGUAGGCGGUUCGUUAUGUCGGAUGUGAAAGCCCUUGGCUUAACCGAGGAAGUGCAUCCGAAACUGGCGAGCUAGAGUACUAAAGAGGAUCGCGGAAUUCCCGGUGUAGAGGUGAAAUUCGUAGAUAUCGGGAGGAACACCGGUGGCGAAGGCGGCGAUCUGGGUAGAUACUGACGCUGAGGUGCGAAAGCGU